UCAUCUACUUCACAAUUUUGCAUAUCACUCUUCUUCAUCCAAAUUUUCCUAAUAGAAGAACAAAUCCCCGACAACUGUGUCACCAACUUGGUCAAAUAACUUACUUGAUCAGGAAGGAAUUCAAUCUGACCAAUAAAAUCCUUAUUUCUACUUCUAUUUAAGCACCUGUUUCUAUCUUUGUUCAGGAAUUGAUGACACCUAACAUGUAUGUGUCCUAACUCACUAUAGUGAAAGCAUGUAGGGAUAAACCUAGGACCAAGUUUAAGUGAUCGCAAACGUCUAUUCCUAGGUUAAUGGGUCUUACGCUGUCUAGUAAGCCUCCAUCCUACAAAUCCCUUAUUUUUUAGUUUCUGGGUUAGGCACAUGUUUAGGUUUGAUCAAUGGUGGGUAUAAAUGUAGUCUUUGAGGUAUUAACAGUAUUCUCUUUGAGACCUAGACCUUCCCUAUUACCAGCCGAUUUGCUUAUUGCUAGGAUGUUAUCUAACUUUUAGAACCACUAGAGAAGGUAAGCAAUCGAGGCUUGGAAUACUCUAGAUCGCUCAUAAUGUUUUUAACUUGGAUUUCCAAAGUCUCAUUUUUAGCGAUCAGCUUACUGACUUUCCUAGAGGACUUCUCAAGCUCGCAUGUGAAAUUCUUAAGCCAAGUAUCUAAAGAUUCAUUCAUCGAUUUCAAUUCACUCAGGGUUGAGGUAGAUUCCUGGAUGUACUUUAAUAGCUUAUCUUUUACCAAUUUAAGCUCGUUUACGUUU
rnacentral:lncRNA from 1 species